GACGUAGGGAGCAAGCGUUGUCCGGAUUUACUGGGCGUAAAGGGCGCGUAGGCGGCGCAACAAGUCACUUGUGAAAUCUCCGGGCUUAACUCGGAGCGGCCAAGUGAUACUGUCGGGCUCGAGCACAGUAGAGGCAGGUGGAAUUCCCGGUGUAGCGGUGGAAUGCGUAGAGAUCUGCAAGAACACCCGUGGCGAAGGCGGCCAACUGGGCCGGUUCUGACGCUGAGGCGCGAAAGCGUGGGGAGCAAACAGGAUUAGAAACCCUUGUAGU
rnacentral:rRNA from 1 species